rnacentral:tRNA from 1 species
UCCCUGGUGGUCGAAUGGUUAAGACUCUGUGCUUCAAAUGCAGGGGGGCACAGGUUUGAUACCUGGUUGGGGAA